GAUAUUAAAGUUGUUGCAGUUAAAAAGCUCGUAGUCGGAUGUCGGGCUCGGGCAGGCUGUCGGCUUCGGUCGGACGGCAGGCUCGGGUCUUUCUGCCUGAGGAUCCCGUUGCACUUAAUUGUGGGGCGUGGGGACGCAGGCCGUUUACUUUGAAAAAAUUAGAGUGUUCAAAGCAGGCCUACGCUUGAAUACAUUAGCAUGGAAUAAUGGAAUAGGACUUUGGUGCUAUUUUGUUGGUUUAUGGGACCGAAGUAAUGAUUAACAGGGACAGUUGGGGCCGUUUAUAUUUCGUUGUCAGAGGUGAAAUUCUUUGAUUUACGAAAGAUAAACUUCUGCGAAAGCAUUCGGUAAGGAUGUUUUCAUUGAUCAAGAACGAAAGUUAGGGGAUCGAAGACGAUCAGAUACCGUCGUAGUCUUAACCAUAAACUAUGCCGACUAGGGAUCAGUGGAUGUCAAUUUGCGACUCCAUUGGCACCUUGUGAGAAAUCAAAGUUUUUGGGUUCCGGGGGGAGUAUGGUCGCAAGGCUGAAACUUAAAGGAAUUGA
rnacentral:rRNA from 1 species